GAUGAACGCUGGCGGCGUGCCUAAUACAUGCAAGUCGAGCGAACAGACGAGGAGCUUGCUCCUCUGACGUUAGCGGCGGACGGGUGAGUAACACGUGGAUAACCUACCUAUAAGACUGGGAAACCUCCGGAAAACGGGGGCAAUAACGGGAAAAAUUAUUAAACCGAUUGGUUCAUAAGGAAAAACGGGUUUGCUGGUAACUAUAAAAUGGUCCGCGCCGCAUUAGCUAGUUGGUAAGGUAACGGCUUACCAAGGCAACGAUGCGUAGCCGACCUGAGAGGGUGAUCGGCCACACUGGAACUGAGACACGGUCCAGACUCCUACGGGAGGCAGCAGUAGGGAAUCUUCCGCAAUGGGCGAAAGCUUGACGGAGCAACGCCGCGUGAGUGAUGAAGGUCUUCGGAUCGUAAAACUCUGUUAUUAGGGAAGAACAAAUGUGUAAGUAACUAUGCACGUCUUGACGGUACCUAAUCAGAAAGCCACGGCUAACUACGUG
rnacentral:rRNA from 1 species